AUUGAACGCUGGCGGCAGGCCUAACACAUGCAAGUCGAGCGGAUGAAGGGAGCUUGCUUCUGGAUUCAGCGGCGGACGGGUGAGUAAUGCCUAGGAAUCUGCCUGGUAGUGGGGGACAACGUUUCGAAAGGAACGCUAAUACCGCAUACGUCCUACGGGAGAAAGCAGGGGACCUUCGGGCCUUGCGCUAUCAGAUGAGCCUAGGUCGGAUUAGCUAGUUGGUGAGGUAAUGGCUCACCAAGGCGACGAUCCGUAACUGGUCUGAGAGGAUGAUCAGUCACACUGGAACUGAGACACGGGCCAGACUCCUACGGGAGGCAGCAGUGGGGAAUAUUGGACAAUGGGCGAAAGCCUGAUCCAGCCAUGCCGCGUGUGUGAAGAAGGUCUUCGGAUUGUAAAGCACUUUAAGUUGGGAGGAAGGGUUGUAGAUUAAUACUCUGCAAUUUUGACGUUACCGACAGAAUAAGCACCGGCUAACUCUGUGCCAGCAGCCGCCGUAAGAC
rnacentral:rRNA from 1 species